CCUACGGGAGGCAGCAGUGGGGGAUAUUGCACAAUGGGGGGAACUCUGAUGCAGCGACGCCGCGUGGGUGAAGGAGUGCUUCUGCAUGUAAAGCCCUAUCGGCAGGGAGGAAGCAAGACGGUACCUGACUAAGAAGCCCCGGCUAACUACGUGCCAGCAGCCGCGGUAAUACGUAGGGGGCGAGCGUUAUCCGGAUUCACUGGGUGUAAGGGGAGCGUAGACGGCCAAGCAAGCCAGGGGUGAAAGCCCGGGGCCCAACCCCGGGACUGCCCUUGGAACUGCAUGGCUGGAGUGCGGGAGGGGCAGGCGGAAUUCCUGGUGUAGCGGUGAAAUGCGUAGAUAUCAGGAGGAACACCGGCGGCGAAGGCGGCCUGCUGGACCGCGACUGACGUUGAGGCUCGAAAGCGUGGGGAGCGAACAGGAUUAGAUACCCGAGUAGUC
rnacentral:rRNA from 1 species